UACGUAGGGGGCAAGCGUUGUCCGGAUUUAUUGGGCGUAAAGAGCGUGUAGGCGGCCUGACAGGUCUGCUGUGAAAACUCGAGGCUCAACCUCGAGACGUCGGUGGAAACCGUUUGGCUAGAGUCCGGAAGAGGAGAGUGGAAUUCCCGGUGUAGCGGUGAAAUGCGCAGAUAUCGGGAAGAACACCCGUGGCGAAGGCGGGUCUCUGGGCCGAUACUGACGCUGAGGAGCGAAAGCGUGGGGAGCGAACAGG
rnacentral:rRNA from 1 species